GUAGCGUGCCCUUCUAUUUAAUUAGAGCUGAAAAUACAUUUGGGAGUGAAGUGAUUUGAAUCUGAGCAGUCGCCCGCUGCAACACAACGCUGCCAUGGCGAUGGGCUACUCUUCGACGGGAACAUGCACAUCUGAAAGAGACCUGGCCCGAUGAGCAUCACAGCUACAACAUUGCUGCCACAGUACCUCUAGAUACAAUAGUUAUUGGCUUAUUCAAGUGACCAAGUGGUGACAAGGGAAUCUCGUGGCCACCUUCAGCAGGCAGGCAGUCUACAGUCUACUUCAAGCAUCUGCAAUGCUACACAGAGGGA